rnacentral:misc_RNA from 1 species
AACCUUAUGGACCUGCGGGCGUAUACCUGCGGAGGGAUCAUUACCGAGUUUACAACUCCCAAACCCAUGUGAACAUACCUAUCGUUGCUUCGGCGGAUCGCCCCGGGCGCCUUGCGUGCCCCGGAUCCAGGCGGCCGCCGGGGGACCUUAACUCUUGUUUUUACUGAGAAUCUUCUGAGUCGUUUUUACAAAUAAAUAAAAACUUUCAACAACGGAUCU